rnacentral:rRNA from 1 species
AGAGUUUGAUCCUGGCUCAGGAUGAACGCUGGCGGCGUGCCUAACACAUGCAAGUCGAGCGAGAAAUCUUGGAAUGAAACUUCGGUGGAAUAAAGAGAUGGAAAGCGGCGGACGGGUGAGUAACGCGUAGGCAACCUGCCCUUUGCAGAGGGAUAGCCAUUGGAAACGAUGAUUAAAACCUCAUAAAACCAAGACGUCACAUGGCGAUUUGGUCAAAGAUUUAUCGGCAAAGGAUGGGCCUGCGUCUGAUUAGCUAGUUGGUGGGGUAACGGCCUACCAAGGCGACGAUCAGUAGCCGACCUGAGAGGGUGAUCGGCCACAUUGGAACUGAGACACGGUCCAA